CUGCGUUGUUUGCUGACCCAGCUCUAACUAAUCACCCAACAUGCAGACCAAGAGAUCUACUAACCAAUUGUUAAUUAUAGAAGAGAAUAUAAAACGACUUAACCGAUUGACCGUUUGUACAUGUUCCUGGUACAAAUCCUGAGCAAUACAACAUUUCGAGAAUUGUGCCACAAAAUUCUUUUGCCCGGGGGCUUUCAUCAACCAUGCGAUAAUUACUUUUCGUCUUGAUUCAUGAGAGAAGUUCCCACGCCAACGUAGUAUCACUAGCGCAAUAGACUUUACCGUUUACUCACUUUUCACCCCAUGGG